CCUACGGGAGGCUGCAGUGGGGAAUAUUGGACAAUGGGGGCAACCCUGAUCCAGCCAUGCCGCGUGUGUGAAGAAGGCCCUCGGGUUGUAAAGCACUUUCAGUGAGGAAGAACGCCUGGUGGUUAAUACCCAUCAGGAAAGACAUCACUCACAGAAGAAGCACCGGCUAACUCCGUGCCAGCAGCCGCGGUAAUACGGAGGGUGCGAGCGUUAAUCGGAAUUACUGGGCGUAAAGCGCGCGUAGGUGGCUUGAUAAGCCGGUUGUGAAAGCCCCGGGCUCAACCUGGGAAUGGCAUCCGGAACUGUCAAGCUAGAGUGCAGGAGAGGAAGGUAGAAUUCCCGGUGUAGCGGUGAAAUGCGUAGAGAUCGGGAGGAAUACCAGUGGCGAAGGCGGCCUUCUGGACUGACACUGACACUGAGGUGCGAAAGCGUGGGUAGCAAACAGGAUUAGAUACCCCAGUAGUC
rnacentral:rRNA from 1 species